rnacentral:misc_RNA from 1 species
UCGCGGCUUAUCACCGGCAGUCCCCUUAGAGUGCUCAACUAAAUGGUAGCAACUAAAGAUAAGGGUUGCGCUCGUUGCGGGACUUAACCCAACAUGUCACCACACGAGCUGACGACAGCCAUGCAGCACCUGUCACUCAGCGGUAUUGCUACCGAAGCCGUAUCUCUACGGUUGUCUGAGGAUGUCAAACCCAGGUAAGGUUUUUCGCGUUGCUUCGAAUUAAACUACAUGAUCCACCGCUUGUGCGGGCCCCCGUCAAUUCCUUUGAGUUUUAGUCUUGCGACCGUACUUCCCAGGCGGGGUACUUAUUGCGUUAGCGCCGGCUCAGCAGGGGUCAAGACCCGCCAAGCCUAGUACCCAUCGUUUACAGCGUGGACUAC